rnacentral:tRNA from 2 species
GCCGAAGUGGUGGAACUGGCAGACGCGCUGGACUCAAAAUCCAGUCCUGUUAAAGGGGUGCGGGUUCGAUUCCCGCCUUCGGCA